rnacentral:rRNA from 1 species
AUGGACGAACCUUGCGUCGGGACUAGCAUGACCGAGUUUGCGCGUCCCGACGACGUGAAGUCCAUGACGAACUUCGAAAUCGGGCGCACCUGCCAAUGCAUCCCGGAUCCGCUCAUCUCCAUACCCGGCCCCCUCUCGCUCUCCAGCGCGCCGUGGAUCCCCCAUGGCGCCGACCGCAUCAGCUGCUUACCCGACGCCAUCCUCCGCAACAUCGUCGCUCGGCUCCCCCCCAAGGACGCCGCGCGCACCGCCGUCCUCGCCUCGCGCUGGCGCCCCCUCUGGCGCUCGGCGCCGCUCGUUCUCAUCGACACCCACCUGCUCCCGGACUACGGCGCGCGCGGGCCGCUCAUCGUCGGCGCCCGCUAUCCCCGCGCCGUCACCGAUGCAGUUUCUCGCAUCCUGGCGACGCACCCGGGGCCUUUCCGCUGCGUUCACCUCACCUGCUCGGUCAUGGACGAGCACCAAGACGAGCUGGAGAGCUGGCUCGACAUCCUCGCAGCCAAGGGCGUGCAGGAACUGGUCUUUGUGAACCGGCCGUGGCCGAUUGAUCUGGAUCUCCCUGCCACGAUUUUCCGGUGCACCUCUCUUGUCCGUCUGUAUCUUGGGUUUUGGCGGUUUCCAAACACCGACGGCGCCAUCCCACGCCCGGCUGCUUUUCCGAAUCUUCGAGAGCUCUUCCUUUCCUGCACUACCGUGAAUGAAUGGGACAUCGCCUUCAUGCUUGAAAAAAGCCCUGUACUAGAGCUACUUAUGAUUUCCGGGCGCCCAGCUUUCUCCACUCUUCACCUUGCAAGCGACAGUUUGCGACUGAAGAUGAGUGUCCCACUCUCCCAAACGUGA